UGUAACUUAACACUUUUUUCAAGCAUGUGAAACUCAAGCCAUCGAUGGCACGUGAUCUUGGGACUUAGGACGAAAUACACAAUCUGGAUGACUGAGUUGGCGGUUUGAACUACAUCGAAGUAAAGUCACCCGCACAGCAGUUCCAAACCUUCGAUUUGCAGGCCGACUGUCAUCAAUCGUUGAACUGGU